GAUUACUCCUACGGGAGGCAGCAGUGGGGAAUUUUGGACAAUGGGGGCAACCCUGAUCCAGCCAUUCCACGUGAGUGAAGAAGGCCUUCGGGUUGUAAAGCUCUUUCGCAAGGGAAGAAAACUUAUGAUCGAAUAAAUCAUGAGGUUGACGGUACCUUGAUAAGAAGCACCGGCUAACUACGUGCCAGCAGCCGCGGUAA
rnacentral:rRNA from 1 species